UACGGGGGGGGCAAGCGUUGUUCGGAAUUACUGGGCGUAAAGGGCUCGUAGGCGGCCAACUAAGUCAAACGUGAAAUCCCUCGGCUUAACCGAGGAACUGCCGUCCAAACUGCUUCGCUUGAGACCGGGAGAGGUGAGUGGAAUUCCCAGUGUAGCGGUGAAAUGCGUAGAUAUUGGGAGGAACACCAGUGGCGAAGGCGGCUCACUGGACCGGUACUGACGCUGAUGCGCGAAAGCGUGGGGAGCAAACGGG
rnacentral:rRNA from 1 species